AUUUUAUUAAAUUUUUCCCGAUCCUUAUUCUUCUCCCCGAUUCUCUCUGCCCGAAACCCUUCUCCGGCGAUUUCUCGCCUCAACGACGCCAAGCUCGCGACUGCCGGCAGCAAUCUCCUCCAGCGUGUCUCGGCCAAGCCUCCCCCUCCCUCGCGAUUUCCCUUUCCUCUCUCGUGCGAACGCCCGACGCCGACGAUGCGCGAUCUCCACCCCGAUCGCAGCCUCGUUGAGUCGCCGGAGGAAGAGCCGCUGGAUAUCGAAGGGGAUCGAUUAUCUCCGGCGUAGUAGGCGUCUCGGUGGCUGUUUCUUGCUGGCAAGUGAUGGUGAUCCAGUGGCUAGGGCACGGCGGGGCUAAGGCCGAUCAAGCCCUUUCGCUUCUCCCCUUCGAUCUGGGCAUUGGAGGGCAAGUUGGGUCAUCACCAGUGGGAGUGGAUCACGCGACACCAUUAGAGGUGAUCGAUUGAGGAUGGAGGAUGCUUCGGAUCAAUCUAGUGAUGGAUCUUCCUUGAGCAGGACUUCAUCUUCUCCAAUUCUUGCGGCUGGGUUCUGUGGAAGCUGUCGGAUGAGGAGGCAUUUUUGUAGAUUUUGGACAGUGGGAGUAGGGGCUGUGAGCUCUUGAGUUGUGGCACUAUCUCGAGGACUUUGAUAUGGGAUGUUCAUCACGAGGUGGGUGGUUCUGUUGAUACGAGAUAUAUCAAGGCG